CGGAGCUCCGCAACACCCUAACGGUGGCGACGGUCGCAAGGAACGGUGACGUCAUAUGGAUCCGCUCCCUCCCUUCUUCUCCGUCCAUCUCUGCGGAGCCUGUGAUCGGCUCCGUCGGUUAGUUUCCCUUGUCCCCGGUCGAUCGUCAUUGCCGUCACAUUCGUCCAAGCCUGGGCUUGAUGAUGUGGGCGAACACAUAGUUAAGCAGAACAUGGAUUUCCUUUGAAAGCAACUACUAGCUUGAAAAAAUUUAAUGUCGUUAUUUUUCUGAAUUUUCAUGCUAACUCGAUUGAAAUUAGAUAAUGCCAGACAACCAUGAUGGAAUUCAUUCUGUUGAGACCUAUAAGUUAGAUGGAAUUGCGAAAAUAUUCGUGUAUUAUAUUCAUAGAUAUCUUUUUCUUUUCCUGUUGUAACUUUGUCGCAUAUUUAUUUUUAUUAUGUUAAUUCUAGUAUGAAUCAUUAAAAAUAUUUGCUGUUUGUGGACUAUGGAAGUGAUUCUGGCUCUGGCUCUACUGUGUCUGUUUGCCAAACAAAUCUUAAGCCCUUUGUGACGUUUAAUCAUACUUCUUUAGUAGAAGGACAGGAGUGAUUCCUUUAUCGACCUUAUAAAGUACACCAAGGCUUGUCUAGGUUAUUUAGUUAAAAGAUCACUAGCAAUUUUGAUGUUGAAUUUAGCCAAUGGUUUGUGUUCUUGCUUCGAGUUAGCUUAUAAGAUCAUGUUGUUAAAUAAAAAAAUUCCCAACAUCAGCAAUAUUUGAUGUCAUUGGAUCGUGUUAGACUGUUGGGUAGUGUUUAUGUCAGAUUAAGAUGCAUUUAUUAGACCAAAACUUCCACCCAAACUGCUAAACUUGAACCUAACCCACCUAAUACAUGUGUAACCUAACCUAACCUUUGGGCUUAGAUCAAAUUAUAUUAUAGAUGAUAGAUUUAAACCAAUUUAAAUAAAAACCCUUCACUGACAAUUUAAUCAAUCCAGUAGUAGAAUUUGACCUAUUUAUAACCAAUAAGCAUGAUAUGAUCGACACUCAUUUGAAAAUGAUACAUUGAUGUGCUUAAUCCGAUUAUUACUGAUUCAAGUGGGUUAGUCAUGACAGUUUCCUAAAUUCAUUCAAUAAGAGUCUCUCUGCUUGGGACAUGCACAAAAUGCUAAUAGUUUUGAUUUUGAAGUUAGUUAUCAUGACCAACUUGUGAUCUGCACUCAGCCAUUAGAUCUGCCACAUUGUGGUUGUUAAUUCAGUAACUUAGGUUUGUCAACUUGUUGUAAAUUGAUCAAGUCAUAAUAAAAUUUAUCUUUUCCUUUCUAUUUUCUUUUUCUGUAUUCAGCUGAUGUUAUGCGGAUAAUUUUUAAUCAUCUCCACCUGACAUCAUCGGAGAAUGAGGCUUCUAACUCUAAGAAUUUUGCGUAUAUAGGGCCAUAUAUUAAAGCUCAUAAUUGCAUUUUUGUUUGAUAACUGGAGAGAAGCAUAUAAGUUUCUACUGCUCUCAAAAAAAAUUCCAAACAAACUUUGGUCAUAUUCGAUAUAGACUUGGUUGUGUUUGCCAUCUCUCUGUUGGAUGUUAGGCCUGAAAAGUUGAUGAUCUAUCCAACUGUAGCUGUUAAGAUGUACUGGUAUACUUGGUACAUAAAGUAAGAUAUGCUUGCUGUCACCCUGUUAGGUGUCGGGCCUGAAAAGGUGAUGGUCUAAUCCAACUGUGUCCUUUAACAAGUACUGGUAUAUUUAGUACCCUGAAUUUUUCCUUCAGUUGCUUCCCUGUUAAUCAACACAUUGACUGGUUACCAUUCUUGUUGGAAGGAAUGAUACAUCAUCCUAAAUUUGUAUAAUGUUUGUACAUAUGGGGCCUUCAUUUUUAAGUUUCAAGUUCCUUUUGUCUUGUUCUAUGUGUUAUUUGAAGAACAAAAACUUUCAACUCAGGGCAGAAAAGGGUAGUGAAUGAGAUUCUUGGCAGUAAAAUUGUCCAAUUGUUUUAUAGAGAUUAAACAAGUUCUUCCAUGUGCAACUAUGUAUAGCAUCAUCCAGUUACGGGCCAAUCUAUUUCGUAACAAGGGACUAUUUUUUCGUUUUCCAUCUGAUGGUCAUAAUUACUCAAGGAAACAGUAGGUAAUGCUUUAGAUAAUGGUGGAACACUUUUGGAAUAAUUUUUCUAAUGGAUUUCAGCCAUCUCUUCUUCGUUUUUGAUAUGUAUAUGUAUAUAUAUUUAUUUACAUAUUCUUUUUCUUGUGAUUUACAUUAGCCAUGAAUUUUUACCAGUGUAUGUUAUGACAUAUGCCUCGUGGUUGUAAUCAUCCUUUUUCUGUUAUUGUUAUUUUAUGCACAUAUGUUUACUUGCCCAACCUCAGUAGCUUUUAGGUUGGGUUGUCGGUGCAAUGACUUUCAAGGCAUCAGCAUAUCUGGUAUAGAUGGCAUAUUUAUCACAGAUCACUUUCUGCUUACACUUCAGCUAGGCCUCUACCUAUUGCAGCUCAGAGGUAUAACAACCUUGCUUGCAACCCAAUGCUCUUAGCCGUGUGCUAGGCAGUUUGUUAGACCCCUUGGUGCUUCUCCUUUGGUUUCUGAUGAUCGUGAUGGUUACGCAAAUGAAGAAGAAUGCUGCGAUCUCCAAUAAUGACUCUUCAGCUUCAUGGUCUCUCAAACAGGUGGUUCAUUUAAUCUGAUAGUGAAAGCUCAUCCAAUUACACAUGCUCUUAUGAGGCACCAUUAAAAUACAAGGAGGGCUUAUUUGAUAAUUCAUUUUCUUAGUUGUGUUCCCUUGCUUGCUGUCCCUGAUUUAAUGAUAAUGGCAGAUUAUUGAUUAACAAGAGAAAAUAUGUGCCAAUCGGAAUACGGUGUAUUUGAUUUUCUGGAGGAAUUUAUCAUAAACUGGCGUCUUGCUUAAUACAGCUAAAGUUGACAGUCAAAUGAAUAGUGUUUGUCAGUCCAUCAUCGCACAAUUUCUCAAGGUUCUCAGUUUGGUGAUAGCCCACGUGUGAUUCAUUGGAUGUGUGAAUUCAGUCUUCAGAUGUAUUCCUUUUUCAUUCCUCAUGUCUUUACAUUGUCAUUCCAGGACCACUCUGCAACAUGGAACCUGUUGGAUCUAAGACAUGACGUUGGUUGGUGGCUAUCAUGAAGCAACCGGCUGGUUGCAUAAUCAAAGCCUCUUACUUUCUAGGUCUUCGGUGCAUUCAAUUAGCAAUAUGGAACAAGAAGGGUCUACAUAUGAAUGGAUAACAUAUUGUGCUCCAUGUCAAUAAUUUCCACCUUUUUUGUUUCAAAACAAAGAACAAAGAAUUACAUAUGGUGGACCUCAGGAACUUGUUGCCUAGACUUGGCCUGUGGGUUGUGUUCAAACGUGUACAGAAUGCUUUGAGUUAAAAAAAUGCUUCGAGUUAAAAGAAUAUGAAUGUUAAUAUCAUUCAUGCCUUUAAUUGUGGGCAGAUUUCCUGUGGGAUUUUUAUCUUUUUCCCCUCUAAUCCAAAUGUCCAACUUCCAGUUUUGGCUGAAGCUCUGUAGUGAUCAAUGUAGACGUCAGGUUUUUAAGCACUACAAGAAGGUUUUAUUCUUCCCCAAGUACCAGAAUAAACAAGCAAGCAGGCAGCAAUAUGAUGUUUUAGCUGUUUCUUUACCUUGCUUUUCCAAGACUAAUUGAGACUUCAUUUAAAUUAUAUUAUGCAGGAAGUCAGCUCGUUCCACUCUCAGCUACUCAACAAAAGGGAUGAUCAAGAAUAAGGACCUUGCUUAUGAGCAGAUUAAAGCUGGAUUAGCUAGUACAACAACUGCAGUCAUUCAAAUGGCCAUCCACACUUCAAUGGAAUUGAAGGAGACGGCAUGCCACCUUGCUUCAACACCACUAUUCCACCGACAUUGGUUUACCUACCCAUCGUAGGUCAAAGGUGGCAGCUCUGUGUUCCCUAGUAUGUGUUCUUAUGACUCCAACCACCCCAUGCAUUUGCUUUAUCUCCUUCAUUUACUACUAAGAUGUAGGGUACCUUAUCAUAGCUUUGAUCCCCCUCAAGCAUCACAUGACUCU